GGGCCAUUAGCUCACUUGGUAGAGCGCAUCCAUGGCAUGGAUGAGGCAACCGGUUCGAAUCCGGUAUGGUCCA
rnacentral:tRNA from 1 species